GACGAACGCUGGCGGCGUGCUUAAUACAUGCAAGUCAACUUGACUUUAGAUAGCAAUAUCGAAAAGUAGGGUGGCGCACGGGUGCGUAACGCGUAGGUAAUCUGCCCUGAGGUCUGACAUAACCCGUCGAAAGGCGGGCUAACAUCAGAUGAUAUAUAGUCACGACAUCGUGGAAAUAUCAAAUCUUCGGAGCCUUGGGAUGAGCCUGCGUCUGAUUAGGUAGUUGGCGGAGUAAUAGCCCACCAAGCCUACGAUCAGUAGCUGGUCUGAGAGGAUGAUCAGCCACACUGGAACUGAAACACGGUCCAGACUCCUACGGGAGGCAGCAGUAAGGAAUAUUGCUCAAUGGGGGAAACCCUGAAGCAGCAACGCCGCGUGAAGGAUGAAAUACUUUUGUAUGUAAACUUCUGUAAGAUGGGAAAAAUAUUACUCCUCGGGAGAAUUGAUUGUACCAUCAGAGUAAGCCCCGGCUAACUACGUGCCAGCAGCCG
rnacentral:rRNA from 1 species